rnacentral:rRNA from 1 species
CCUACGGGUGGCAGCAGUCGAGAAUCAUUCACAAUGGGGGAAACCCUGAUGGCGCGACGCCGCGUGGGGGAAUGAAGGUCUGCGGAUUGUAAACCCCUGUCAUGUGGGAGCAAAUUAAAAAGAUAGUACCACAAGAGGAAGAGACGGCUAACUCUGUGCCAGCAGCCGCGGGAAUACAGAGGUCUCAAGCGUUGUUCGGAAUCACUGGGCGUAAAGCGUGCGUAGGCUGUUUCGUAAGUCGUGUGUGAAAGGCGCGGGCUCAACCCGCGGACGGCACAUGAUACUGCGAGACUAGAGUAAUGGAGGGGGAACCGGAAUUCUCGGUGUAGCAGUGAAAUGCGUAGAUAUCGAGAGGAACACUCGUGGCGAAGGCGGGUUCCUGGACAUUAACUGACGCUGAGGCACGAAGGCCAGGGGAGCGAAAGGGAUUAGAUACCCCUGUAGUC